CAAAGUGUUCCUCGAAAACGUGAUCCGC
rnacentral:sRNA from 1 species